ensembl:lncRNA
CUUUAUCUGGACACAGACUACAUGAGCAGACUGAGUUGAGCUUCCAGCCUUGCUGGUGGACAGCCUGCUGCACGACAGGAUCUCCCAUUGUGUAGGGAUGCCUCUCAAGGUUACAUGUGAGCAGAGAUCACUUGCACCUCGAUGUCAAGAGAUACCUGGCCAAUAGAGAUCCUCAAUGUACAGACUGGGAGAAGAACUCCUUGUGAGCAGCCCUGUGCAGAAGGACUUGGGGAUUUUGGUGGACAAAAAGAUUGACACAAACCAACAGUGUGUGCCUGCAGCCCAGGAGAGCAACUGUGACCUUUGCUGCAUCCAAAGAACAGUUGGCCAUCAGGGCAAGGAAGGUGAAUGUCCCUCUCUACUCUGCCCUCAUGAAGUCCCACCUGGAAUAUUGUGUCCAGGACUGAGGCCUCCAGCACAAGAAAUACGUGAAGCUGUUGGGGUGGAUCCAGAGGAGGGCCAUGAAGAUGAUCAAAGGGUGGGAGCACCUUUACUAUGAAGAAAGGUUGAGGGAACUGGACUUGUUCACCCUGCAGAAGCAAUUCUCCAGGGAGAUCUCACUUUGGUCUUUCAGUACUAAAAAAAAGCUUAUAAAAAAAGAGUGAUAUCCUCUUUUUACAUUUUCUCAUAGUGGUAAGACAAGAGGGAAUGAUUUUAAAGUAAAAGUAAUGUAAAAGAAGGGAGAUUUUGGUUAAAUAUUAGGAAGACAUUCCUAGUGGAAGAGUGGCAAGGCACCAGAACAAGAAGCUGAGGGUGCCCCAUCCACGAAGGCAUUCAAGGCCAGGUUGGAUGGGGCCCUGAGCAGCCUACUUGGGUUUGUGGUGACCCUGCCUAUGGAAGGG